UCCUGCAUUGCAGGCAGUCCUUAAUGCUGUAUCAGCCCUCAAAAACACUGGGUGGCUACCUGAGCUAGCAGUGCCCUGAAAAUUUGCUUUGUACCAGAAAAUGGCUUGGGAAAGAAGGACUGUGAGAAAAGAACCCUGAGCUGCACCGGUUUUGCUUGUGUUCUACUAGAUGAGAUACUAGCCUGCCCAGUAUCACAGCAUCCUGGACAUGUGGUUAUUUUCUCUGGUGGCACUGGAACACAGAGAAACAGGUAGAGAUAUCAAAGGAUCAAGUUGCAUCUUUCAGAAGGAGUGCAUGUACCAACCAGAGGAGUGAAAGCAGUAAUUCCCUCAUUCUUUCCCAUCUGUUU
rnacentral:lncRNA from 1 species